rnacentral:rRNA from 1 species
GACGAACGCUGGCGGCGUGCCUAAUACAUGCAAGUAGGACGCAGUUGCGAACGGGUGAGUAACGCGUAGGUAACUACCUAUUAGAGGGGGAUAACUAUUGGAAACGCUAGCUACUACCGCAUACUAGUAGAUGGACCUGCGUUGUAUUAGCUAGUAGUUAUGGUAAUGGCCUACCUAGGCAACGAGACAUAGCCGACCUGAGAGGUGGAUCGGCCACACUGGGACUGAGACACGGCACAGACUCGUACGGGAGGCAGCAGUAGGGAAUCUUAGGAAAUGGGGGGAACCAGGACCGAGCAACGCGGCGUGAGUGACGAAGGUUUUCGGAUCGUAAAGCUCUGUUGUGAAGGAAGCGGUACUUAAUCAGAAAGGGACGGCUAACUACGUGCCAGCCGCCGCGGUAAUUC